UUGCUUGAGAGAGGAAAAAAACCCUCUGUAGCCACAGGCAGACAAGCUCAGUGCUCAGGAACAUAAUGGCAGGAGCCUGCAGGCCCAUAUGCUCGCCAUCCUGUGAGGUGGAAGGCCAGCUCCGAUCAUCUCCAGCUGCUCAGCAUACAAUUGAUCAGGAUCUCCUCCUACACACUGAACCUUUCAUAGCCCACUAUCGCUUGAUGCAGAAGCACAGACCGCUAAUAGCAUGAGAUGAAUAACUCCUUGCAGAACACUCAUUUCAUGCUGACAAGCACUGCCUGCGAUCUGCAAGAACGACUCGCGUUCUUUUGCCCACGAAACCGCCCGUUUGCCCCGGCCCGCGUCGCACAGCCACGCAGGACCAUGGACAGCAGUCUCGCGGCGUGGCACGGCGCUCGGCCGCCCGGCCCCGAAGUCCCGGCACCUGGCAGCUUCCAGGCAUUUUUAAUUAAUUAACCUCGGCUAGGUGAUGAAUUCACUUGUAUAAAGUAUCUGGAACCAAUCCUGAACCAUCCUGAGGUGCUGCAGCCCUCCAGUGAGCACACGUUAGUCCAAGGAAUAUAAUUAAAUGGAACGUAUAAAAAAGAUGAAGAUUUUUUUUUUUUUUAAUGUGGUCUGAUAGCGAUAGGAGAAGGACUGGUUUUAAACUAAAAGAAAGGAGACUGAACUUAGAUGUUAGGGGGAAAUUCUUUACUCAGAGGACUGUGAGAGAAGUGUGGAUACCCCAUCCCUGGUGGUGCCCAAGGUUACGUUGAAUAGGACCCAGGGAAGCCAUUCAUGCCUUGUGAAUUCACAAGACAAGCAAGAAACAUUGUGACAGUGCCUCACUUGUGCAUCAACUAUUUUGUACAACUGUAUUUAUAACUCUGUCAUGCUGGGUGUGUAUAUCCUUCCAUAAGGAAAGAAGAGAUGAUAUCUUAUCUCUGCCUUAGUACAAUAUCAAUAUCGUUUUACUGAGGACUAAUUAUGAAUUCUCUCACUUACAAAUUUGCACAGCAGACUAUAAGUGGACUAUCAGCCAAAUUUAACUAGCUGCCAGCAGCCACUCAGACAAAGAACACAUUACUAAGAAUCUACAAGACCAGUGCUCCUAUAAGGUUUCAUUCUGAUUCAACAUCCAAAGUUCAACUUGGAAGAUGAGGGAAAUGAGAGAAAUGGCUAGUGACAGUAAGCCUUGAUGGGGUCAUGGGCUUUGCAACAGCUUCAGCAUGCAGACGGGUGAAAACAUCACUCACAAAGUAAAGGGACAGAGGAAAGAAAUGAAAAAGGGGGAGGGGAAGGAAGGAAAGAAAAAGGGAAGGUUGAUAGACAGUUGGACUUGUUGAGGGUGAAAUCAAUUAAAGUGCAUCAAAUCCAGAAUUCAUGCUUUUUCAAAGUGACAAAUAUGUGCUGGAAACUGAGAAAGACGAAGGGAAAAUAAUGUCUUUGACCUCCCAGAGACCGGCUGUUCCUUCCGUCAGAGGAGCCAAAAGUGAAGUGAGAUGCGUUCAUGAUAAAUUGUAACAGCCAGGCAGCCACCUUAAAAAAGAACGAGGUGAAAAGGUUACAGAAGGGACCCAAAAUGCAAAGAAUUCAGCCAAACAUCAAGAUAAAUCAACUCAGGCCCUUGUGUAUGCGUGCCCUGCCUUCACAGAGCUGCUGCAGCUCAUCUCAAUUUGUUAGUCUUACUUAAAGUGUAAGAGACACGCACAAACACAGCUUGUUUACCAAAGCUUUUGUAAACAGUGUUCCAAAAGAUUGAUUCAGUGAAGGCUGAGGCCUUUCCUAGCCAAAGGACGCACUGACCACUUUACUUGCUGUUCUCUCUGUGGCAACUGCUAAACAGCUAGAGAAGGUCUUCAGCACACACAAAUACCUGCAUUCUGCUCGAUUCAGAUGAGUUUUGGGUAAAAGUUUUUAAUGAGCUAGAGACCUCACUUCUGAAAAGAAAGGAAAACAAAUAUUCUCAAAGCUUCAGAAAGGGAAAUCUUGAUGUAUGCCUUAUUUUCUCUCACAUUUACAGAAAAUUUUCUAGUUCUCAGCUCCAAAGCACAAUAGAAAUGUUAGUCUGGAUACUUUGCAGCUUUAGAUCUUUUCACUUGCUGGCAAUCAGAAAACAUUAAAUUUGACCAUUACUAUCAUGGAGAAUAUCUUGAAUAAGCAAAAAUCAGAAGGUAUAUAAAUAUCUACUAAUAAAAUUUGUUUGAAACAUCCUUUUAAACAUUAUGUCCUUCUGGGUAUCGACAUGACUUUACAGCACUAAUACAUACAUUUUCAACUCACUACACGUCCAAGCAAAUGUCAAGGUAAAACUGGACAUUAAAAAAAUGGUUCACCUCCCUCAGCACUGGCAUUUUCCAUGUAAAGGAACAACUACAUGCACAGCCACACUCAUUAAAGUUCUCCUUCUGAAUCAGUUCUAGCAAAAAGCUCCCCCAGUGAUGCAUGUGGUAUUUUAAGUGAAUCAAAGUAAGUCAAAGCAGUAUUUUAAGGGGAUAUUUAAUGCAAUUCAGUACACUUGUUCACAUAAGGCAGGAUAUGCUCAAUAUAACUCCCAUUCAGAUGCUCAUACUUUUCCAGAAUUCUUGAACUAUUAGUAAUAGCAAUUGAUAUUACUAUGAUAUCUUUGAUUAUAAGUGACCUAAGCCACCCUGGCCCAAGCCAGUUAGAUCUUUACAGAGGUCACUGGAGAAGGCAUGUGUGCU